rnacentral:lncRNA from 1 species
CCAAGAUGUGAGGAUCACUUGAGUCCAGGAGUUUGAGACCAGUCUGGGCAACAUAGCAAGACUCCAUCUCUACAAAAAAUGCAAAAAUUAGCCAGGAAGAAGAAAAUGACAGGUGCUAAGAGAGAGAGGAAAGGGUAAGACGGGCUGGGACCCUGUAUCAGUCAGGGUUUCCAGCUGCAAGAAAGAAAAAUGAAUUCUUGCUAACAAAAGCAGAAAAUAAAGUGGU